ensembl:lncRNA
ACGUUAACGCUGGGGAAAGGUUGGAGCCUUGGAAGCUGAUCUGUUUGAGCAGAGUGUACAGGUGUGGAGUUGAGAGAGGUGAGGAGCAGGUACAGGUGAGGAGCAGGUACAGGUGAGGAGCAGGUACAGGUGAGGAGCUGAGGAGCAGGUACAGGUGAGGAGUUGAGAGAGCUGAGGAGCAGGUACAGGUGAGGAGCAGGUACAGGUGAGGAGUUGAGAGAGGUGAGGAGCAGGUACAGGUGAGGUGCAGGUACAGGUGAGGUGCAGGUACAGGUGAGGAGCUGAGAGAGCUGAUGAGCAGGUACAGGUGAGGUGCAGGUACAGGUGAGGAGUUGAGAGAGGUGAGGAGCAGGUACAGGUGAGGAGCUGAGAGAGGUGAGGAGCAGGUACAGGUGAGGAACAGGUACAGGUGAGGAACAGGUACAGGUGAGGAGUUGAGAGAGGUGAGGAGCAGGUACAGGUGAGGAGCUGAGAGAGGUGAGGAGCAGGUACAGGUGAGGUGCAGGUACAGGUGAGGUGCAGGUACAGGUGAGGAGCAGGUACAGGUGAGGAGCAGGUACAGGUGAGGAGCUGAGAAAGGUGAGGUGCAGGUACAGGUGAGGAGCUGAGAGAGCCGGACAGACUAAAGGAGUAAAGCGCUGCUGCAUCGCACUCAGUGGGAA